AAAUCUUAAUUUUAUAAAUUUUGAUUGGAUAUUUAAUAUAUAAGAUUUUUCUUUCCUUUUUAAAAAUUAAUUUUAUGUGUGUUAGAGUUUAUAUAAUUGUUAAAGUUUUUAAUAACUUAUCAGUGAUUCUGUAAAGAUUAGUUAAUUUUGUGCCAGCAGCUGCGGUUAUACUAGUGAUCUUAAUUUUUAGUUAUUAUUUCAUAAGAGACUUGUAAAUUGAAAAGUAUUAAGGUGAAAUUUGAUUUUUAUAUAAUAUUGUUUUGUAUUUAGAUAGAUAAGUAUAAACUAGGAUUAGAUACCCUACUAUUAAUAUUAUAGGGGAGGAGUAGAGUUAAAAUUAAAGGAUAUGGCGGCUUUUUCUUAUUAGAGGAGGUUGUAACCAUUAAUUGAUACAACACAUUUUUAUUUUAUUUAUCUUAGUUAUGUAUACCGUCAUUUAAAUGAUCUUGAAGGAGAAAUUUUUAGAGUUUUGUUGAAUAAGUUAGAUCAAGGUGCAGAUAUUGAUAAGAGGUUAUUAUCUACAUUAUACAAUUAUACACGGAUAUUUGUUAAAUUCAAAUCGAAGGUGAAUUUGAUUGUAAUAUUUAUAAAUGAAUAUAAAGGAGAAGUGUACAAAUUGCCCGUCGUUCUCUUUGAGAUAAGUCGAAACAAAGUAGAACCACCUGAAGGUGAUUCUAA
rnacentral:rRNA from 1 species